rnacentral:rRNA from 1 species
UACCUGGUUGAUCCUGCCAGUAAUCAUAUGCUUGUCUCAAAGAUUAAGCCAUGCAUGUCUAAGUACAUGCCGAAAUAAGGCGAAACCGCGAAUGGCUCAUUAAAUCAGUUAUGGUUCCUUAGAUCGUUUCUUCCUACUUGGAUAACUGUGGCAAUUCUAGAGCUAAUACAUGCAGUGAGCCUGAAGCCCUUUGGGCGACGGGUGCUUUUAUUAGACCAAGAUCGAUCGGGUUUCGGCCCGUAUUGUGUGGUGACUCUGGAUAACUUUGUGCUGAUCGCAUGGCCACGAGCCGGCGACGUUUCUUUCAAGUGUCUGCCUUAUCAACUUUCGAUGGUAGGUUACUUGCUUACCAUGGUUGUUACGGGUAACGGAGAAUCAGGGUUCGAUUCCGGAGAGGGAGCCUGAGAAACGGCUACCACAUCCAAGGAAGGCAGCAGGCGCGCAAAUUACCCACUCCCGGCACGGGGAGGUAGUGACGAAAAAUAACAAUACGGGACUCUUUUGAGGCCCCGUAAUUGAAAUGAGUACACUCUAAAUCCUUUAACGAGGAUCAAUUGGAGGGCAAGUCUGGUGCCAGCAGCCGCGGUAAUUCCAGCUCCAAUAGCGUAUACUAAAGCUGCUGCGGUUAAAAAGCUCGUAGUUGGAUCUCAGUUCCAGACGAGUAGUGCAUCUACCCGAUGCGACGGCUCGGACUGAACAUCAUGCCGGUCCUUUCUUGGUGCACUUCAUUGUGUGCCUCGAGAAGGCCGGUGCUUUUACUUUGAAAAAAUUAGAGUGCUCAACGCAGGCGAGUCGCCUGAAUAAACUUGCAUGGAAUAAUAGAACAAGACCUCGUUUCUGUUCUGUUGGUUUUUGGAAUACGAGGUAAUGAUUAAGAGGGACAGACGGGGGCAUUCGUAUUGCGGCGCUAGAGGUGAAAUUCUUGGACCGUCGCAAGACGAACUACUGCGAAAGCAUUUGCCAAGAAUGUUUUCUUUGAUCAAGAACGAAAGUCAGAGGUUCGAAGGCGAUCAGAUACCGCCCUAGUUCUGACCAUAAACGAUGCCAACCAGCGAUCCGCCUGAGUUACUCAAAUGACUCGGCGGGCAGCUUCCGGGAAACCAAAGUGUUUGGGUUCCGGGGGAAGUAUGGUUGCAAAGCUGAAACUUAAAGGAAUUGACGGAAGGGCACCACCAGGAGUGGAGCCUGCGGCUUAAUUUGACUCAACACGGGAAAACUUACCCGGCCCGGACACUGGGAGGAUUGACAGAUUGAGAGCUCUUUCUUGAUUCGGUGGAUGGUGGUGCAUGGCCGUUCUUAGUUGGUGGAGCGAUUUGUCUGGUUAAUUCCGAUAACGAACGAGACUCUAGCCUAUUAAAUAGGUGCGGGGUUCCCAGCACCUUACAACCUUCUUAGAGGGACAAGCGGCUCCUAGCCGCACGAAACAGAGCAAUAACAGGUCUGUGAUGCCCUUAGAUGUCCGGGGCCGCACGCGCGCUACACUGAAGGAAGCAGCGUGUCUUUAUCCCUGUCUGAAAAGACUGGGUAACCCGUGGAACUUCUUUCGUGAUUGGGAUAGGGGCUUGCAAUUGUUCCCCUUGAACGAGGAAUUCCCAGUAAGCGCGAGUCAUAAGCUCGCGUUGAUUACGUCCCUGCCCUUUGUACACACCGCCCGUCGCUACUACCGAUUGAAUGAUUUAGUGAGGUCUUCGGACCGAUGUCCGGCGCGGCCUUUCGGUUGCGCCGGUCUGUUGGAAAGAUGACCAAACUUGAUCAUUUAGAGGAAGUAAAAGUCGUAACAAGGUUUCCGUAGGUGAACCUGCGGUAGGAUCAUUA